ACGCCCCCUCCUCCCACUUCCCGUCCUCCCCCUUCUCCUCGCCUUUCCCUCCGCCCCACUCCCGGAUUAAAUUCCGAAAGAGUCCCGGAACUUGCCUGGGGUCCUGCAGGCGGUCCCUAUCCCAUCUGCUUUCUCUGUUAUUCUAAUCGAGUCUCGGGGACACCCUUUGUCAACUGCCGAGAGCUAUGCAUAAGACCGGGGUUGGUAUUGUUAUUACUAAGAGACGCUCGGUUUCGAAAUCGCUUUGAAUUUUCUUGCACCAAAUCUUGGCGGUUCCCGUGCCUGGAAGCCUCGGCCGCGUGGGACUUUUUUCCUCCGUGUGAUUUGAGAAGUGGAAGCCCACUCUUGCUCUCCUGCUCGAGAAGAGGGUGGUUUGAGACGGGAAACCAGGACUGUGUCACUGCAGAAAGCCGGGAGCAAGACACGCCCCAGAGCUGGUUUAACCUGUUGUGACCAGACUGGCUGAAUUAACCAUCGCUCAACUGGACACAUGACCACUCCAUUCCUAUGCAGGACUUUCAUCCGACAAACAUUUUCUCCCUCCUUUGUCCAUCCCACUGGGAAGCAUCAACUGGCUACUCCUCCUCCAUCCUGACUCCACCCCCAUCACCUGUCUGCCUCUCCCUCCUCCACCUCACCUAGUCAGUCCCUUGGAUCCUCCCCAAGCCCCACUGCUUAGCUCAAGCUCAUCAGAGCUCACCUGAACUGCGGCAGCCUCCUCCCCAUCCACCCAUCUACCCCAGCUCCAUUCCCCAUAAAAGCAGGUCUCAGCUUGCCACUUCUCUGCUGCUAAUCCUCUGUUUUGCAUCAGAGGCCAAGGCCCAGCCCUCAGGGACGAACGAGCAGGACUAACCAGGGUGCCUGAAUAAAACAUGCCUCUUCCAGUCAGUCACCCAGGAGAAACUUACUCAUCCCAAGAGGGGAGGCGGGGAAGAAGCUCGAGGGAGGUUUCUGGCUCAGCCAACUCUCAUCAACCAAGGCGAGGAAGGGGGACACAGUGGUGGCUCAGCCUGGGGUAAGGACUAGACCCCACUCCACUUACAAACUGCCCUCUGCAUUUCUUAGAUGCUCAACCUCAUUCAUAACAUGUGCUCAUCUGCUCAGGCCACAGACUGUAGCCUGUCAGGCUCCUCUGUCCGUGGGAUUCUCUAGGCAGGAAUACUGGAGUGGGUUGCCAUUUCCUUCUCCAGGGGAUCUUCCUGACCCAGGGAUUGAACCCUGGUCUCUUGUAUUGCAGGCAGAUUCCUUACCAUCUGAGCCACUGGAGAAACCCCCGUUCAUAACAUAAGAAAUGUAAAUUAAAGCUACAAGAUACCAUUUUUCACCCAUCAGAUGAGCAAAACCAGAAACCCAACAAGAGGGAGCUCAUGCCUGUUGAGGUCAAGGUGUCUGAAAACAGUCUGAAAGUUAAUUGGCACAGUCUCUUUAAAGGGUCAACUGGUAAUACCUGUCAAAAAAUUAUAUAUACAAACUCUUGGUCCUAGCAAUUCCACUUUCAGAAGUUUACCCUGCAGGUAUACAAGUGCCCCGGGGUUUUCCCAGUGGAUCAAUGGUAAAGAAUUCUGUCUGUCAAGGCAGGAGACAGUGCGGGUUCAACCCCUGAAUUGGGAAGAUCCCCUGGAGGAGGAAAUGGCAAUUCCCUCCAAUAUUCUUACCUGGAAAAUCCCAGAGACAGAGGAGCCUGGCAGGCUACAGUCCAUGAGGUCGCAAAAGAAUUGGACAUGACUGAGCAACUAAACAAUAAUCACACCAUACAGGUGCCCUAAGAUGUAUAUAAUAUGCACCAGGAUAUUCAUUGAACUAUAGCUUUCAUAGUUUCCAUUUGGAACCUAAAUAGGAGGGUAGUUAAUAAGUUCUGCUUCAGCCAUACAAUUAAACAUUAUGUUCUAUUUAAAAGAAUGAGGCAGAUAAGUACUAAAAUUAAGUGAUCCUAACUAAGAUUUAUCAUGUGCAAAAGCCAAGUGCAGAACAGUGCGUACAGCAUUUAAAGCUUAUUAUUUUUUUAAAAAUGUAAAUGUUUCAUAAGUAUAGAGUGUCUUUGGAAGGAAACAAUCAAAAACAGUGUCCUGGAGUGGGAUGCUGGGAGACCAAGAAUAAAAAUGGGAGGAAGA